UACGUAGGGUGCAAGCGUUAAUCGGAAUUACUGGGCGUAAAGCGUGCGCAGGCGGUGAUGUAAGACAGGUGUGAAAGCCCCGGGCUCAACCUGGGAAUGGCAAUGGAUACUGGCAGGCUAGAGUGCGGUAGAGGGUAGUGGAAUUCCCGGUGUAGCGGUGAAAUGCGUAGAGGUCGGGAGGAACACCAGUGGCGAAGGCGGCUACCUGGACCAGCACGUGACACUGAGGCACGAAAGCGUGGGGGGCAAACAGGAGUUAGAUGACCCGG
rnacentral:rRNA from 1 species